AUAAAGUAGGGUUCAUUCUCAGGAUAAAAGUUUGGCUCAAUAUACAAAAAUAAACACAUGAUAAACAGGACUGAAGGCAAAAAAACACAUAAUUGUGUCAAUAGACACAGAAAUGGCCUACAAUAAAAUUCAACAUCCCUUCAUGUUAAAAACUCUCAAUCAACUAGUUACUCAUGGAAUGUA